UCCCUGGUGGUCCAGUGGUUAUGACUCAGCGCUUUCACUACUGUAGCCUGGGUUCAGUCCCUGGUCAGGGAA
rfam:Ovis aries breed Texel chromosome 2, whole genome shotgun sequence.